AUCAGAGACAACGCUCGACAUCUUCAGUCUCUCUGUCUACGCCCCUCUCUCCACUCCUAACAUCAUCAGAGACUCUUUAUCUGUUCAGAACUCAUCAUCUUCAUCAGGACCAGCAUCCAGCUGUGUGUUUCUGUGUUCAGUGGUGAAUGUGGAUCAUGUGACUCUCUCCUGGUACAAAGGAAACAGUUUAUUGUCCAGCAUCAGUGUGUCUGAUCUCAGCAGAAGUCUUUCUUUACAUCUGGAGUGUCUGGAUGAUUUCUACAGCUGUGUGGUGAACAAUCCCAUCAGAAACCAGACCACACAUCUCAACACUGAACUCUGUCAGACAUGUUCAGACUCUGUAUCUCUGAUAGGGCUGAUCUGUGUCAUUGCUGCUGUUGCUGGUUUUCUGUUGAUUGUAACUGGAGUCGGGAUCUUCUUCAUCUGCAGGAAACACA